GAAUUUUCUUUUUUUCUUUUAUCAUGCAAUAAUUCAUGCGCUCUGCCCAAGACAUAGUGAAUCAUGUAGGGCCACCAUGUUUUAUUUUCAAUUUUUAUCAUGAAAUAAAGGAUGUUUUGCAUUUAAAUCUUUUGGUCUUUGUCUUUCUAUUUUUUACCUUUUUUAUUUUAAAAUGGGAAUGUUUUCUUUUUACCACACAUUCCCUAAAAGAAUAAAAAACAUCAUUAAU
rnacentral:lncRNA from 1 species